rnacentral:tRNA from 2 species
GCAGAUAUGGUUUAACAAAAAUGUUGGAUUGUGAUUCCAAAGACGGGAGUUCAAACCUCCUUAUCUGCC